AGAAAUCAAAUAAGAGCGAAGAACUAACCGAACUUGAAAAACUUCGAGCGGAGAAUGCAUCAUUGAGAGAAAAGAAUGAAAAACUUCGAGAAAAGUUAUGGUCAGUUUCCGACGAAUUGGCGAAAUAUUCAAAGCGUGGACAAAGAAAACAUGCAAUUCAAAAUGAGGAACAUCAGGGAAUCCCAGACAAUAGCAAUGAAAAAAGAUGUAAAAAUGUUGGCAGAAAUUUUGCCGUAGCUAAAUCGAAACAGCACUAUGGAAAUAUUAAGCACGUGACAAACAGGUAAGUUACACAAUAAAGAAAGAAGAUUAAUUUAGUAGCGAUUAUCAGAUAUUCUCUUUGAUUUCCCAGUAAAUCUAGUGUUAGCUUCAAACCAUGUUCUUGGUCUGUAAAAAUAAUCUAAAAUGAUUUCGCUUAAUUCGUGUGACACUAAUCGAAUUUUCUACAUAAAAUUUCAGGUUUUUUGAUCAACGCCGGGAAAAGAACAUCAAUAAUUGCUCAAGAAAAAGCGUAAACACAUACGAAAGAAAAUACCCAGGUUUUGCUUCGGAAUACCGAGGAGAGUUCGAAACGAAAUUACUUCAUGCGAUUACUCGAGGAGAAGUUGACAAAAUACCGUUUGAUGAAAUUAAAUACGGUUAUCACAACAUCAGAUGGCCCGGGAUUGUUUGUUCGCGUCUUCACCGAUUAUUUCCUAUUCGCAAUAAUAUCGAUUUUAUUUUAAUUAUUUCUAUUUGUAUAUUUCUCUC